GUUCUCGCCACUGUUCUUCACCGCCUUGCCGCUACACCUCGCCACUUCUGCUUCUUUAUUCGGCCUCUGUUUCUACUUCGUCUUCUGCUUCAUCUUAUGCUUCUUGAUUCUGCCUUUGCUUUCUGUUUCUGGAUCUGCUUCUUCUUCUUCUUCUGCUUUCUGCUUCUUCAUCUUCUGCUUCUUCUGGGUCUCCAUCUUUAGCUGUAUGUAGAAAUUUUGAAACAGAUCACGGUGCUUGGUUAUGGUUAAAUGGGUUCAAAAGCAAAUUUAGACCCACACCCACCAACAAAUUCAGAGGUCCUAUGGUUACCGAUUUUUUAUGCCUGUCAUGUAUUCAUACUCAUUAUAGGGUUAUAAAGAAAAAAGGAAUUAACAAGCUGAAACAUGCAGAUACAGAGACGCCUUGCACAAAAUCGAGAGGUUGCUCGUAAGAGUCGUUUGCGCAAAAAGGCCUAUGUACAGCAACUAGAAUCAUGUUGUGUGAAGCUAAUGCAGUUAGAGCAAGAGGUUGAUCAUGCAAAACAACAGGUGAAGUGAAAGACAUGAAGCUGAGUUUGAUUCACUCCAGUUCCCGCUGUGGAUCACUUCAUAUUUGUUCAAUAUAUACUUGUUUUUUCUCGGCUCUCUUUUCAAUUUCUUGGGGCAACAAAACUGCAGGGAUUACAUAUUGGUGGUACUGGAUUGGGUUCUAAUAGUUUGGGUUUUACUGCCUCUUUAAAUUCCGGUUUGUUUGUUAUCAUGCCGCUAGUGCUAGAUAUUGAUUUGUCAUUGAUCUUGAGUUUUUUCUGUUACUGAGGUAGCACAAUAUGUUGGUGAAAUUAGUAUUUGAACUGUUUCUAUGUCAUUUUCAUGUUGAAUA